ACUACGGGUGGCAGCAGUGAGGAAUAUUGGUCAAUGGACGAGAGUCUGAACCAGCCAAGUAGCGUGAAGGAUGACUGCCCUAUGGGUUGUAAACUUCUUUUAUAUGGGAAUAAAAUGUUCCACGUGUGGGAUUUUGUAUGUACCAUCUGAAUAAGGAUCGGCUAACUCCGUGCCAUCAGCCGCGGUAAUACGGAGGAUCCGGGCGUUAUCCGGAUUUAUGGGGUUUAAAGGGAGCGUAGGUGGAUUGUUAAGUCAGUUGUGAAAGUUUGCGGCUCAACCGUAAAAUUGCAGUUGAAACUGGCAGUCGUGAGUACAGUAGAGGUGGGCGGAAGUCGUGGUGUAGCGGUGAAAUGCGUAGAGAUCACGAAGAACUCCGAUUGCGAAGGCAGCUCACUGGACUGCAACUGACACUGAGGCUCGAAAGUGUGGGUAUCAAACAGGAUUAGAUACCCGUGUAGUC
rnacentral:rRNA from 1 species